AGAGUUUGAUCCUGGCUCAGGAUAAACGCUGACAGAAUGCUUAACACAUGCAAGUCGAUGACUAAGUAUAGCUUGCUAUACAAGGUCAUGGCGGACGGGUGAGUAACGUGUAAAGAACUUACCUUAUAGACUGGGAUAACAGAUAGAAAUGUCUGAUAAUACUAGAUACUAUUACACUGUGGCAUCACAGAGUAAUGAAAGAAUACGCUAUAAGAGAGCUUUGCAUCCUAUUAGCUAGUUGGUAAGGUAAAGGCUUACCAAGGCGAUGAUAGGUAGCCGGCCUGAGAGGGUGGACGGCCACAAGGGGACUGAGAUACGGCCCUUACUCCUACGGGAGGCAGCAGUGGGGAAUAUUGGACAAUGGAGGAAACUCUGAUCCAGCAAUUCUGUGUGUGUGAAGAAGGUCUUCGGAUUGUAAAACACUUUUAGUUGGGAAGAAACAAAUGACGGUACCAACAGAAGAAGCGACGGCUAAAUACGUGCCAGCAGCCGCGGUAAUACGUAUGUCGCAAGCGUUAUCCGGAAUUAUUGGGCUUAAAGGGCAUCUAGGCGGUAUAACAAGUUGAAGGUGAAAAGCUGUAGCUCAACUAUAGUCUUGCCUACAAAACUGUAAUACUAGAGUACUGGAAAGGUGGGUGGAACUACACGAGUAGAGGUGAAAUUCGUAGAUAUGUGUAGGAAUGCCGAUGAUGAAGAUAACUCACUGGACAGAAACUGACGCUGAAGUGCGAAAGCUAGGGGAGCAAACAGGAUUAGAUACCCUGGUAGUCCUAGCUGUAAACGAUGAUUACUGGGUGUGGGGAUGAGAAGUCUCUGUGCCGAAGCAAAAGCGAUAAGUAAUCCGCCUGGGGAGUACGUUCG
rnacentral:rRNA from 1 species